rnacentral:rRNA from 1 species
GGAACCGGGGAUUGAGCGGCGGACGGGUGAGUAACACGUGGGCAACCUGCCCUCUAGACGGGGAUAACUCCGGGAAACCGGAGCUAAUACCCGAUAAUCAAGCAGAUCACCUGAUCUGCUUGUAAAAGCAUGGCCUUCGGGCCAUGCACUGGAGGAUGGGCCCGCGGCGUAUUAGCUAGUUGGAGAGGUAAGGGCUCCCCAAGGCGACGAUGCGUAGCCGACCUGAGAGGGUGAUCGGCCACACUGGGACUGAGACACGGCCCAGACUCCUACGGGAGGCAGCAGUAGGGAGUCAUCCGCAAUGGGCGAAAGCCUGACGGUGCAACGCCGCGUGAGUGAUGAAGGUUUUCGGAUCGUAAAGCUCUGUUGACAGGGAAGAACCCACCUCCACUCCAACACGCUGGCGCGCUGACGGUACCUGUCCACAAAGCCCCGGCUAACCUACUUGCCCCCCCCCCGCUCUAAUACCCUCCGGCGCCCCCCGCUGCCCCGACUUCCUGGCCACUACAGGCUCACCCAGGCCCAUCCACCCCCCCCUAAUGCGACACCCCCACCUCUCACCCUCUCGCAUCGCCACUCGCACCCUCCUCCCCCCUCCCCACUCAACCUCCCUACACCCCCCCCCCCUCCCCCUUCCCCCCCUCCCCCCUCCCCCCCACCUCCUCACUCCCCCCCUCCCCCGCCCCCUCCUCCCCCACCCCCUCCUCUCCUCCCCCACUCUCCCACUCUCUCCCCCCCCCCCUCCCCUCAACCCCUGACUCCUUCCCUCCCACCCUCCUCCUCUCUCCCCACCACCCUCCCACCCUCACUCCCACCUCCUCCUCCCUCCCCCCCUCCCAUCCUCCCUCCUUCCCCCCUCCCUCUCCCAUACCCCCAUCCUCCUACCCUUCUCUGCCUCCCCAUACACAACACCCUCCCUCUUCUCCUCCUCCACCCCAUCCUCUAC